UGGGGAAUAUUGCACAAUGGGGGAAACCCUGAUGCAGCGACGCCGCGUGAACGAAGAAGGUAUUCGUAUCGUAAAGUUCUGUCCUAUGGGAAGAUAAUGACAGUACCAUAGAAGAAAGCUCCGGCUAAAUACGUGCCAGCAGCCGCGGUAAUACGUAUGGAGCGAGCGUUGUCCGGAAUUAUUGGGCGUAAAGGGUACGCAGGCGGUUUAAUAAGUCGAAUGUUAAAGAUCGGGGCCCAACCCCGUAAAGCAUUGGAAACUGAUAAACUUGAGUAGUGGAGAGGAAAGUGGAAUUCCUAGUGUAGUGGUGAAAUACGUAGAUAUUAGGAGGAAUACCAGUAGCGAAGGCGACGUUCUGGACACAAACUGACGCUGAGGUACGAAAGCGUGGGGAGCAAACAGG
rnacentral:rRNA from 1 species